rnacentral:rRNA from 1 species
UACGUAGGGUGCGAGCGUUGUCCGGAAUUAUUGGGCGUAAAGAGCUUGUAGGUGGCUCGUUGCGUCGGGAGUGAAAACCUGAGGCUCAACCUCAGGCCUGCAGUCGAUACGGGCGGACUUGAGUACUGCAGGGGAGACUGGAAUUCCUGGUGUAGCGGUGAAAUGCGCAGAUAUCAGGAGGAACACCGGUGGCGAAGGCGGGUCUCUGGGCAGUAACUGACGCUGAGGAGCGAAAGCGUGGGGAGCGAACAGG